rnacentral:rRNA from 1 species
UACGUAGGGGGCAAGCGUUGUCCGGAAUCAUUGGGCGUAAAGCGCGCGUAGGCGGCCCGGUAAGUCCGCUGUGAAAGUCAAAGGCUCAACCUUUGAAUGUCAGCGGAUACUGCCGGGCUAGAGUCCGGAAGAGGCGAGUGGAACUCCUGGUGUAGCGGUGGAAUGCGCAGAUAUCAGGAAGAACACCAACGGCGAAGGCAGCUCGCUGGGACGGAACAGACGCUGAGGCGCGAAAGCGUGGGGAGCGAACAGG